UAGAAAAUAGUAUAAUGGGAGUACGGAGAAUUUUGAUUUCUCAGGUGUAGGUUCGAUGCCUACUUUUCUAA
rnacentral:tRNA from 1 species